ACGGAAGGCAGCAGUGGGGGACAUUGCACAAUGGGGGAAACCCUGAUGCAGCGACGCCGCGUGAGUGAUGAAGUAUUUCGGUACGUAAAGCUCUAUCAGCAGGGAAGAUGAUGACGGUACCUGCAUAAGAAGCCCCGGCUAACUACGUGCCAGCAGCCGCGGUAAUACGUAGGGGGCAAGCGUUAUCCGGAUUUACUGGGUGUAAAGGGAGUGUAGGUGGUCGGGCAAGUCCGAUGUGAAAGCCCGCGGCUCAACCGCGGGACUGCAUUGGAAACUGUCCGACUGGAGUGCAGGAGAGGAAAGUGGAAUUCCUAGUGUAGCGGUGAAAUGCGUAGAUAUUAGGAAGAACACCAGUGGCGAAGGCGGCUUUCUGGACUGUAACUGACACUGAGGCUCGAAAGCGUGGGGAGCAAACAGGAUUAGAUACCCUGGUA
rnacentral:rRNA from 1 species